GGAUAACGAGUGAGAAAUUCCGCACGGACCGUGUUGAAGUGAUUUGUUUUUGAGUUCACUCUGUUAACAAAUGUUUGUUGUAUUUUUGUAUUGUAAGAACGAUGUUUUGACUUGUUGAUAUAAAAUGAAAUGGCGGUGGUGAAAACAGAUUCAAAAUUAGAAGAACUUAGAAAAAUUGUCAAAGAGAACAGUUAUCUGGUAAACGAUGAAUUGCAAAACCCAACAUUAUUAGGUCAAGCUGCAAAAACAUGCAACGUUGAGUGUGUUGAAUUUUUGUUGAAUUCUGGAGCACAUGUGGACAUAGUUGAUCUUCAAGAUAAAACGCCCAUGUAUUAUUGUCUAACAGCUGAUGAAGGUGUCAGAUCGGAAGACAAAGUGGCAUGUUUAAAGUUGCUGAUAAAAGCUGGAUCCCAAUUAUAUAGGGGACUUGACAGUGUGGGAAGUACACCUCUAAUGGUAGCUGCCAGUCGGAGUGAAGUUGACUGUGUGUCAGAAAUUCUCCAGACAGGAUAUAUACAUGGCCCAAAACAAGACUUAUUAACUCAAUCAAAUAAAACUGUUACAGUUGGUGGGAUGUCCAAUGAUGAAGAUUCUGGUGAUGAUGAUGGUGAUCAUUAUGAGAAUGACCAUGAUGAUGUUUCUGAAAGUACCAUAGACAGUUAUGAAUAUGAUGAGGAAUUGUUUAAAGAACAUCCGACUCAUUACUUGAAACAUAAAGCACGGUACCGUACAUCUAUAGACUUCAGAAAUAAAAGUGGAUUUACUGCCCUUGGAUGUUGCCUUUUUAAUAAACCAUCCAAACCACCGGCAUCUAAAACCAUAGCUUGUUUGCGGCUACUAGUUGGUGCAGGAUGUGACUUUGAAAUUACAGUGACAUCAGCAGACUUUUUGAUCGACUACAAUUUAGCAGAGCAAGCUAUUAAUGUUGGCUUAGACGCCUCUAUUGUCAAAUGUUUAGUGGAACUUGGUUGUCAAGUGGAUUUUACAGACAAAAUGGCAAUGGCGAUUAAAGAAUUUGAUCUUGGGUUUGUUCGAUAUCUGAUGGAUGCUGGCGCUGACGUGACAUCCGAUUAUCCCACACAAAACAAUGCAUUACACACCAUUCUUCUUUCUAACGGUUGUUGUCUACGCGAUAUUACAUGUACGGAUUCGUGCCAUCGUGCGAAUUUCAACAAAAUAAAAACAAUGAUGAAGUUCUUUGUUCUUGAAAAUGUAAACAUGGACGCUUUAGGUGAUGAUGGUGUUCCGUGUGUAGUUUUAGCAUGUCUGUACAAGUUGAUUGAUUUUACUUUCCCGCUGGAAUAUUUGUUAUCAGAAAAUGUUUCUCUUCCAGACAAUAUGCACAGGUGGAUGAAAUCUUGUCAUGAAAUGUGGACAUCAAGAUACUUUGACGAAGGCACUGGGAAGUUUGAGCUAUUGAAACUUCUAUACAGUUGUGGUCUUUCAUCAAAGGGGUGUAAUCAGUUCAGAGAAAAUGAAGAGCUAAACUCUACGAUCGUAAACUGGCUGACAGAAAAUGUUAAUCAACCACAACCUUUAAUGACAUUAUGUAAACAUAAACUACGUGGGAUACUAGGUAACGAUAUUAAAACUAAAGUUCCGCUUCUAAGACUACCUCUAAUGCUUCAGAAUUUAUUGUUAUUAAAAGAUGUUCUAACUUCUGAAUGUUUUGAGUAAAAAUGAGUCAUUGCUCCACCAUCUCAGCAUAGAUGACAUUCUUUCAUUCUUUUUAUCGUAUAUUUGAUGGUCCCAUUUGUCAGAUUCUGCUAGGACCAGGAAGCUAUAGAAAAGGUAUUUAUUAAAAAAAACUAUGGAUUUGUGUUGAGGGGUACAAAUGGGCGGGCCAUAAUGACGUAUGAACAUUAUCUCAAGGACACAAACGCUGUUUUGAAAUAAAAUCAUUGAAAUAAAAUUGAACCGUGUUAGUCCCAAAAUGACCUAGUUUGUGUCGAGUGGGUGUUAAACCCCAUUUAUCUCUCGCUUAUAUCAAACUCCAACUGCCAAGGGAUCUUUUACGUGCAUACCAGUAGAAAACUUACGAGGUUGGACAGGCGAUCCUACUCCUUGUCACGUACAACCGAGGAAUCGAAACCACUCCAGUUGAGUUCGAUAUAAGAGUAGUCCGUAGCACACUGUAUGAUAUAUGCCCAUCUUCAUUAGCCCAGUCGAAGCAGAAAAGUAGGAUGUUAAACCUCAUUUCAUUUCUGUUUAUUAUUUUCAUCAGCAUGACAUGGGACAAGUUCGGAAAGGAUUAACGUACCCAGAGUGAUUUAGAAGCUGGGAGUUCAUCAUUAGGUCCAUUAACAGCAGCCAGCAAUUCUACAAACAGUACAUUAAUAUGUGUAGACCCUAUAAUAGAUAAAACCUCCACCUAUACACAGUUAAUACAUUCUUACAAAUGGAC